UCCCCACCUCAUCUGAUAUGCAGUGAGCGUUCUGGCACAAAAUGGCUGCCGUGCAUCACCCAGGUGGGGGCUACACAGCAGUGGUGCCUGAGGUGGGUUAACCCCUCUUCACUGUAGAUAGUAUUUAGAGAUAAUGAGUGAGAUAAUCAAGUCGCUAUAUAAAUGCAAUGCAUAAUCAUCAACGUUGUUUUGGGGAUUAAGUUUUGAGAGCUUCUUGCCGAAAUGGGUGGCCAAACAUUUUGUUGAGUCAACCAGUUUAGUUUAUACGAGAAUGAGAAUGAUCAAUUAAACUUCUAAAUAACAAUCAUGUUUAAGAAAAUGCCAAGAUGAUUAUUUUUCUAAAACUGCUCUGAGGGGGCUCCAGACUGUCACCAGCUGUAGAUAAUAAU